UACGUAGGGUCCGAGCGUUGUCCGGAAUUAUUGGGCGUAAAGAGCUCGUAGGCGGUUUGUCGCGUCUGCUGUGAAAUCCCGAGGCUCAACCUCGGGUCUGCAGUGGGUACGGGCAGACUGGAGUGCGGUAGGGGAGAAUGGAGUUCCUGGUGUAGCGGUGGAAUGCGCAGAUAUCAGGAGGAACACCGAUGGCGAAGGCAGUUCUCUGGGCCGUAACUGACGCUGAGGAGCGAAAGCGUGGGGAGCGAACAGG
rnacentral:rRNA from 1 species